rnacentral:rRNA from 1 species
CAGCAGCCGCGGUAAUACGGAGGGGGCUAGCGUUGUUCGGAAUUACUGGGCGUAAAGCGCACGUAGGCGGCUUGGUAAGUUAGAGGUGAAAGCCUGGAGCUCAACUCCAGAAUUGCCUUUAAGACUGCCGAGCUAGCAGGUGAGAGAGGUAAGUGGAAUUCCGAGUGUAGAGGUGAAAUUCGUAGAUAUUCGGAAGAACACCAGUGGCGAAGGCGGCUUACUGGCUCAUACUGGACGUUGAGGUGCGAAAGCGUGGGGAGCAAACAGGAUUAGAUACCCCGGUAGUCCCUGUCUCUUAUAA